ACUACUCGGUUCUCAGGUCCAUUUGUGGUGGAAAGUAUUGUGACACAAACGGGUUUUCCGUCUACGCUCAGGCGUUUUUGCCUGGUUAUUAUAGCCAUUCUCAUUUAUUCAAUCAGGAAAAACAGCAAAACGUCUGACGCUUCAGUUGCUUUGCAAACAAAUGCAACAGCCACUGGAUAUCUGGAAGAUCAGCAGACGGACGAGGACUCGUUGGUUUAUUAUACAGUAAACUUCAAACCUAGAGCAAGGGAUCCAAAAACAGCAGAAGAAGAGAGCAUCUACUCUGAUGUCAGAUUCCUUCAGUCGGAUUAAUUAUCAAAACACUGCAUUUGCCAGUUGAUGUUUAUGUUGUGUGAAAACGCACACCUAGU